rnacentral:rRNA from 1 species
GAUCCUGGCUCAGGACGAACGCUGGCGGCGUGCUUAACACAUGCAAGUCGAACGGAGCACCCUUGAUUGAGGUUUCGGCCAAAUGAUAGGAAUGCUUAGUGGCGGACUGGUGGGUAACGCGUGAGGAACCUGCCUUUCAGAGGGGGACAACAGUUGGUAAACGACUGCUAAUACCGCAUGACGCAUUUUGAUCGCAUGGUCGAAAUGCCAAAGAUUUAUCGCUGAAAGAUGG